rnacentral:rRNA from 1 species
AACGAACGCUGGCGGCAUGCCUAACACAUGCAAGUCGAACGAGACCUUCGGGCAUGGUGGCGCCCGGGUGCGUAAGGCGGGGUAACCUACCCUUAGGUUCGCAGUAACUGCCGGUAAGGGGUGCUAAGACCGGCUAAUAUCUUCGGAGCAAAGAGUUAGCGCGCUUGGAUGGGCCCGGGUUGGAUUAGCUAGUUGGUAGGGUAAAAGCCUACCAAGGCGACGAUCCAUAGCUGGUCUGAGAGGAUGAUCAGCCACACUGGGACUGAGACACGGCCCAGACUCUUACGGGAGGGAGCAGUGGGGAAUAUUGGACAAUGGGCGAAAGCCUGAUCCAGCAAUGGCGCGUAAGUGAUGAUGGCCUGAGGGUAGUAAAGCUGUUUUAACCGCGAUGAUAAUGACAGUACCGGGAGAAUAAGCCCCGGCUAACUCCGUG